ACAGCUUCUGAAAAACUUCUCUGAGAGACAGAUGACAAGUGCCUUCUGUCCUCUAUUCUUUAUUCGUUCUUGUACUUCACAUGCUGCCUAGGGCCACACCCUUUUGGUGGUGAGUGGGGAGCUGGAAGGAGCCAGGCUCUUGAGGACUUUAUAGGAGAAGAAAAGCAACUCGGAGAUAAGAAAACUCCACACCCCUUUUGAGGAGAGAACUUGACAUCUGAAUUUUCACUUUUGUGUUUCUUUGAACAAAACAUCAUUAAGCAUACCAAAUCUACACCAGUAAAAGGUUUGGAUGAAGACAGACAAAAAUGUGAAAUGGACUACAAUGGAGAUGCACAGACAUAUAUUAACCAG
rnacentral:lncRNA from 1 species